rnacentral:rRNA from 1 species
UACGGGGGGGGCAAGCGUUGUUCGGAAUUACUGGGCGUAAAGGGUGCGUAGGCGGCUUUCUAAGUUGGAUGUGAAAACUCUGGGCUCAACCCAUAGCCUGCAUCCAAAACUGGAGAGCUUGGGUUCUGGAGGGGAAAGCGGAAUUCCUGGUGUAGCGGUGAAAUGCGUAGAUAUCAGGAGGAACACCGGUGGCGAAGGCGGCUUUCUGGACAGACACCGACGCUGAGGCACGAAAGCUAGGGGAGCAAACAGG